rnacentral:lncRNA from 1 species
AUGAUGUCUCGACCAAUCUUCACACUUCGUCUCAUCCCGAUGUUUCCGCCAUUGGUUGGGAUCCUAAUCUUCUACCUCCUACUUGAAUUAUUGGACUAAAUAAUAUGUAGUACUUAACCUAGAUAUAUAUAUACACUCAUUUGAACCUUUGAUGUUGAACUUAUGUUUAUAUGUUAAAGUAGUAGAACAUCACCUAAGACCUAAACCUUGUUGUGAUUCUUAUGGGUGUUCAACUCAUGAAAACAUUAUCAUAACCCUUGUGGUUACCAAGUGUCAUACAAGUGUUAAGUGUUGAAGAUGAUUAUUUUCACAUGCUAUUCUCAUAUCUUACUUUUAUGUUGUUUUCAAUACCGAAUCUCGACUCUAAGCAUACUUGAACUUUAACCCUACACAUUCAAUCUUCUAACCUCAUCAACUCGUCAAUAAUUGGAUAAUUGGAAAGCAUAUGCAAACUUUGUGAGUAUACUCGUAUUUCCCCCUUUUUACUUUUACCACUUUUGGGGUGUAACAUGUUUAUCUAUCAACUUACACAUGAACAUUUUGCUUAACACAUGAACAUUCCU